rnacentral:rRNA from 1 species
UACGUAGGGGGCUAGCGUUGUCCGGAAUCAUUGGGCGUAAAGAGCGUGUAGGCGGUCCGGUAAGUCCGUUGUGAAAGUCAGGGGCUCAACCCUUGAAUGCCGGCGGAUACUGUCGGGCUAGAGUCCGGAAGAGGCGAGUGGAAUUCCCGGUGUAGCGGUGAAAUGCGCAGAUAUCAGGAGGAACACCGAUGGCGAAGGCAGCUCGCUGGGACGGUACUGACGCUGAGGCGCGAAAGCGUGGGGAGCAAACAGG